rnacentral:rRNA from 1 species
GACGAACGCUGGCGGCGUGCUUAACACAUGCAAGUCGAACGGAAAGGCCCUGCUUGCCGGGUACUCGAGUGGCGAACGGGUGAGUAACACGUGGGUGAUCUGCCCUUCACUUCGGGAUAAGCCUGGGAAACUGGGUCUAAUACCGGAUAGGAGCCAUUUUUAGUGUGAUGGUUGGAAAGUUUUUUCGGUGUAGGAUGAGCUCGCGGCCUAUCAGCUUGUUGGUGGGGUAAUGGCCUACCAAGGCGGCGACGGGUAGCCGGCCUGAGAGGGUGGACGGCCACAUUGGGACUGAGAUACGGCCCAGACGCCUACGGGAGGCAGCAGUGGGGAAUAUUGCACAAGGGGCGCAAGCCUGAUGCAGCGACGCCGCGGGGGGGAGGACGGCCUUCGGGUUGUAAACUCCUUUCGCUAGGGACGAAGCUUUUUGUGACGGUACCUAGAUAAGAAGCACCGGCUAACUACGUG